rnacentral:lncRNA from 1 species
UGGUUUUGCCCCGAUUGUUGUUGCCACAUCCCGCUACCACGGCCGCAAAUUUGCAGCAACUGGAUCUGUGGCCCUCAAUUAGAUAUUGCCACCGCCACCGUCACCGAUUCUUACAUCGUCACCGCUGCUGAAAUCAUCAUCUCCGUUGUUGAAAUCGUCAUCUCGCGCUGCUAUUUAACUUUGGUUAGUCUCUUUCUCCAGAUUUUGGAAAAAAAUUGAGGUGGUAUUGAAUUAUUAAUUGAAUGCUGAAAUUAGGUUUGACAAAUUGAUAAGAUAAAAUAGGGCAUAUGAAAUGGUUAUUUUGUUCAUAAUUUUUUUUUAAUUUAUCAAAAUAUUAUUGUGCUCAUAUUUUUCCUUAAUAAUUUGUUGUCUAGAACAUUAUUGUGCUCAUAAUAACAUUUUUUACAGAAGGGGAGGGAUUUGUGUGACUUUACUUCUAUUUAUCCAGCAUUAUUCUAUUAUUCUAUUCUCGAAUUUAAUGAGGUAGAAAUGAGAAUAUUUGAUUAAUAAUUUCUUCCUAUUUUCAAUGUAAGCAUCAACUAGCUACAAGAAUCGUUGGCUCAGCUGGAACAUGCAUUGAUGCUAAGGUUUUUGACGAGUAAUUAGCGGUGCUGUUAUCCAAGCUCUGAAAUAUCCAACAAUGGUUAGUGUAUGUAUGUGUGUCUAUGUAUGCGUGUAUUUCAUAAUCAAUUUUAGAAGUGCAUAAUUUUCAGAUUUGAGUUCCAUAUUUUCUUGGUUUUGGUAAAACAACAAAUUACAAUUUCAGAUUAUUGUUGUGACAUUGAAAAGUUUGGUUGGCAGGUCUUUCUUUGGCCUUGCUAAACAUAUUAUAAAAUCCAAGGGAUAAACAAUUUUAUCUAUGGAUAAAAGUUGGAUUAAAAUCCGAAAUCUAUUGCAGCCCGAAUACGUAAAUGGUGUCGAAUCAUUUCUUAAGUUUGCAUACGCAAAUCUGGGAUCGGGGGAUAAAAUUAAGUGUCCGUGUAUCAAGUGUCAAAAUUUAAUGAAUAGGAAAAAAGGAAUAGUUUACGAACAUUUGAUAAUGUAUGGAUUUCUUGAUACCUACACUAAUUGGGUAUAUCAUGGGGACACUCUUGUUUGCAGUUAUGAAGAAGACGUGGAUUUAGGCUCUAAGUUUUGUUAGAUUAUUGUAGUAAAUAGCUAUUAUAUUUUGCGGUCAAUAUAUUAAGCUGUUCAAGAUGUCUCAAAAUACGACUUGUAUAACUAUUUUUGAUUCUACAGUAUAUUGUGGAUUAUUAGAUUAGUGGUACAAAUCAUGACACUUUGAUUUUCAUUUUCUUAACAACAGGUUUAUUCGACUCUCAUUUGCAAGUUUUGUACAAGUUUGCCAGCUAAGAAAUUCAGGUAUUAAGUUGUCCAUAUGUCUUAAGUUCGAGU